rnacentral:rRNA from 1 species
CGGCUCGUAAARCUCUGUUGUUGRAGAAGAACGUGCGUGAGAGUAACUGUUCACGCAGUGACGGUAUYCRACCAGAAAGUCACGGCUAACUACGUGCCAGCAGCCGCGGUAAUACGUAGGUGGCAAGCGUUAUCCGGAUUUAUUGGGCGUAAAGCGAGCGCAGGCGGUURCUUARGUCUGAUGUGAAAGCCUUCGGCUUAACCGAAGAAGKGCAUCGGAAACYGGGCGACUUGAGUGCAGAAGAGGACAGUGGAACUCCAU